GACGAACGCUGGCGGCGUGCCUAAUACAUGCAAGUAGGACGCAGUUGCGAACGGGUGAGUAACGCGUAGGUAACUACCUAUUAGAGGGGGAUAACUAUUGGAAACGAUAGCUAAUACCGCAUACUAGUAGAUGGAUCUGCGUUGUAUUAGCUAGUAGGUAGGGUAAUGGCCUACCUAGGCAACGAUACAUAGCCGACCCGGGAGGGGGAACGGCCACACCUGGACUGGAACAAGGCCCAGACCCCGACGGGAGGCAGCAAUUGGGAAUCUUCGGCAAUGGGGGGAACCCUGACCGAGCAACGCCGCGUGGUUGGAGAAGGGUUUCGGAUCGUAAAGCUCUGUUGUUAAGGGAGCGGUACUUAACCAGAAAGGGACGGCUAACUACGUGCCAGCAGCCGCGGUAAUAC
rnacentral:rRNA from 1 species